rnacentral:lncRNA from 1 species
GACGGCGGAUCUGCCGCGAGAGGGAGGCUAGAGGGCCGCCGCUUCCCCUCCCCCUCACAUCCGGCGCGCCGCCCCAUCUCCCCAUCCCUACCAGCCGGCGGCUUCCCCCGCCACCGGCGCCGCUUCCCUUCCCAUCUCCCUCCUUUCUCGCCGGCUCGGCGCGGCAACGGCGGGGUUCGGCGGAGACGGCGCCGUCCCAACGGCGGCGACGACGGCGUCCGCGGCGGCCGCGCUCCCUCUCCCCCUCUCCUUCCCGUCUCGUCGGCUUGGCGCAGCGACGGCGGGGUGCGGCGGAGACGGCGGCGACGGCCGUCCCUCCCCCUCUCUCUCUCUCCCCGUCGGCCUCGACGGCGACGGCGCCCUCCCAACGGCUGCGAUGGCGUCGGCUUCAUCCGCGUGCGGAUCCGGCAGCGGCGGCUCCCUCCGGCGGCGGUGGUGGCGUCGGCGGCCGCCCUUUUUUUUUUUUUUGGCAAUUUUUUCCAUGGCUAUUGCUAACCGAAUAGGAUUGUGCAUGGACAAAAGAUGGACGAAAAUUAGAUGUUACAACCGCAAAAAUACGAAUAUUUAUAUUAGUUAUAUAGAUUAUAGAUUUUUAGUUUUAGAAACUUGGGCUCGGCCUGCUUUGGAAAUUAAGAAGUCCAACCACGAUCCGAACCACCAAAUUUUUUUAAGGAAAACAUGCAAUUUAACUCCCAGUUGAUCUUUUGUUUAUAAUAAUAUCUCAAAUAGAUGUGCACGCCUGAAGUUUCUCUAUGAAGAACAGAAGAUAAUUCAUGCAAAUAUUUUAUCAAUGCACUAAUAAUGCUAGUCAGAUUUCUAUAUAUCUGUAUAAUAGCUAGCAUCAUCGUUUUCACCUUUUCCUAAUUGUAGCUUAUGCGUAGUGAAUUUCCAAUACAUGAAUCUACAAUCUGCAUAGCAAUAUUUACGUAUUCACAGUCGUUAAAUUUUCGUUAAAUUCCAAUUUUCGUUAAAUUCCGAUUAAGCGUAUGUAUACCAAUUAAUCAUUUGGUGGUACCCUCUCCGUCGAACAUGUGCAUUCGUCUCUUCACAAUACUAGCUUAAUUUGUAUCCCUCUACCCUAUGUCGACCCACAAAGUAUUAAAACCAAUGAGAAAUGACUCCGCUGAGAGUAUUGACGCCAGUGCCAUCGUCGUCCGGCGAAGUCCAGCGAGAGGGGAUUCGAUUGGAUCGGAAGCAAUUUAGCAAAGCGGCGGCGGCGGCGGCAAUUUUUACUUUUGUUUUUCGUUUCGAGGAAGGAACCAGGAAAAACUUGGGUUCGGCCUGCUAGUCCAACCACGAUCUGAACCAACAAAAUAGGGAAAAAUUCUAAUUUGACUCCCUUAAAUAGGUCGGUAGAACGUAGAGGUCGAGAUGGGGGACAAGGCUUCAGAUUUUGACAUUACCAAAACUUAAUAGGUUAACAAAACAAAUAUUAUAUUGCUAUUCAAACCUUAACAAAAUUUGGUACUUUCAGAAACUUCCUCUUAUACAAACCCUACCGAAUUUUAAUAAGGUUACAAACUAAACGCAUCCAACACUACCAAAAUUUGGUAACACCAAAAUGUGCCAACUUUUGGCGGUGCCAAAUUUUGGCAAGGUUGAUAUUUUGACACCAAACCAAACAAGCUUCAAUUAGAUGCUAUAGAUGAAAUGGAUCAUUGGGAUCCGGUUUGACGUCGAAAACGAGGCGGCGCUCGGCUCCAGGCGAUGCCAAACAGAGCAAAGUGGCGUGGGCGCAGAGCUCGGCGUGGUUCGGGCCGCAUGAUAGCCAGCGGAGAACUUGGCGGAUCUUGAAGGGUGGCAGAACGACGCCCAAGGAUCGUGUUCCGCCGGGUCUUGACAGCAAGAUUGGCUUUGGAUUGCUGGCGGAGUGUAUGCACGUUAGGUGCUUGAUCGACGCUCCGCCAUGGCUCCAGGAAGGAGGGAGCGAAGCAAGGCAUCAAGGUGUGGUUGUGGAGGUGGGUAGUGGCAUGAAACGGCGGCGGCGGCGUGCCGUGGUUGGCGCCCGGCUGGUAAAGGUUGGAUCGAAGUUGGGCUAUGGUGAGAGGUUAUGGAUUUGGGCCGUGCAUUCAGGCUCACUGGCCGGGGCAGACAUUGUGUCGAACACCUUGUGGGUAUGAACAGUGUAGUUUUCGCAUUUUCCAGAAAAUUUUCAGAUAAUUGAUUAGAUAGAAUGGAAGGGUUUUUUUAGAACUCAUGAAUGGCAGGGUUUACUGCCCAAGACAAUGUCUCUUGGUUGUUGUCAAUCGGUACACCACAGAGCACAGAGAAAUCUGAUGACAAAAGGACGACACCCCAUAUAAUGCUGUUUGGAAUAUAUUUACUGAGCAGCAGAUAACUUCAAACUGAUCAAAGGAGACACUCGUAUAUGCUGAUGGGGAUAAGAUGUACGGAAAGACGAUAUAUAUCCAGCACACAUAAUUCAACCAACCAAACAGAAGAUCAAAAAAGAGAAGAUUUGGGAAAUACCAUUGCAAAGAUACGUGAGUUGUAAAAUAUCAUCGUACGUGAGAAUGACAUAUGGGGCCUGUACCCACAUUUCAGUGACACAUGAUGUAUUUUCUAACUCUGUGAUUUUUGUGAUGGUACUAGGCAAAUUAGCCCAUCAAAAAAUUAGCUAAAGUGUGGCACAAAAGUAUGUCAAAUGAUAACAAUGUUAGUAUAGCAUCCAAAUUUUUGAAGGCAAACACACGGUUCAGAACUUCAAACGAGCGAGAAAAAGGGGGGACAAUUUCUCACAACAAGUGAACUUCGAAAACGAUCAAAAUUCCAUGCACUAAAGGAUAGUAAAUGAUGAGAAAUUUAACGAUAUGCCACUCAAUAGAAGUGGCUUUAACAAAAUGCCAUCCUCUAGAAUGACCUUAUAAAAAUACCACUCAAUAGAUGUGGCUCUUUAACAUAAUGUCACUUUAGGCUGUUUGGAAGCUUUUAAUCAGAAAUGAUGUGUGAAAUGACAAAAUUACCCCUAGUUCCUUUCUCACAUGUCCAGAGUAGAGGAGGGGCCGAUGUCUGUGGGGACUCCUUCCCCGGUGGCAACAAUGGUUUGCGUGGGCGGCAACGCUGUAGUGGGGGCGACCACGACGCCCUCUCCACAAGCGCCAAGGCCACCUCCGACCACCUCGCUGCAUCUGGUUGCGGCGACGUCCAUGGCCACUCCCUCUUCUUCUUCGCUCCACCCUCGCUUCUACCUCUCCGCCAUCGACGAGGACCGUCCCUGGUACCAGGCCGACAACGAUGCGGCGGGGCUCGAGGAGCUCCUCACCGCAUGCCCCUCCUCGCUAACGGGCCCACGCUGUGGUACCAGCUCGACGACGACGUGGCAGGGCUCAGGGAGCUCCUCGCCGCGUGCCCCUCCCUCGCCGACGAGCCCGCGCCAUGGUACUCCUUGGCUCGCGGCACGGAACCGCUAACCCCGCUCAUGGUCGCCACCGCGUACGGCUCAGUGGCUUGCCUCGACGUGCUCCUCUCGCCGCCCUACCUCGUGGACCCCAACCGCGCCUCGGCCUCAUCGCUCUCCACCCCACUCCACCUCGCCGCCGCGGGAGGGGCUACCUCUACCCCCACAUCGGUUUCCCGCCUCCUCGCCGCUGGCACCGACAAUGACAACGACGAGGUCGAAGAGCGACAAGGUGAGGAAGGUGAGGAAGAGGCAUUUCGGUCAUUUCACGAGCGUAGUCUGGAAAAAAAAUAUAAAAAAAAGCAUCAAAACAGCCCAAAAGUGGCAUUCUAUUAAAGAGCCACCUCUAUGGAGUGGCAUUUUUAUAAGGUCGUUCUAUAUGAUGGCAUUUUGUUAAAGCCACCUCUAUUGAGUGGCUUAUUGUUAAAUUUCUUGUAAAUGAUUAGGGAGAGCUCGAAAUCUGCAAAAAUUAUCGGAUAAUUCGGGUGAAUUUGAGAGGGGCAGUGUGGAUUUACAAAUGAUCCGAUUUGAAGAGCUACUUGUUUUUUUUUUCUCCUUUGGAUUUAUGGGCUAUUUCAGUUUGUUGCUACUUAAACCUUACCAAAUUUUGGUAUGGCAAUAAACUAAACACACUUCAACCAUUACUACUUUACCAAAAUUUGAUAAUUAUAGAAGCUUUCUCUCUUAAAACUCUACCAAAUUUUGAUAAAUGCAUCAAAGCAAACAAAGCUUAUAGUAUUAUACUAUCAAAAUUUGGUAAUGCUAAAAUGUAUAUAAAUUUGAUAUUACCAAUUUAGUAUGGUUGAUUUGGGAAAUAAAGCGAACAAGCCCUCGUGUGACCACCUGUGUGCGCUGGAGAGAUCUGGACCGUCCGUUUGAUGCUGGCCGUUGGAUCUGAGCCGUCGGAGGCCUCGUGGAUUAGGAUAUCAUCAGUGUUGUUGUCUUGUGGGUUGGACAGUAGACUGCUGAUAAGACCGGGAAUCUGGAGUCAGAAAACUUUUCGUCCAGAAAUCAACACUGGAUUUUUGGCUUUGCUCUCACUCGUUGAGCUUCGUUGGAUGGUUAGUACUACUUCGGUACUAACGGGUUACUUUGAUCUUAAGGUCUUCUUUUUUGGCCCAAUCAAUCACUGAAAAUAGAGUUAUAAAAAAUAACUAAAAAUUGCUUUCUUCAAUAUCAGUCCUUUAAACCACCUCAAAUACUCUUUCCUUAAAAGAAAAAACUAGUACUUACAAUUGCACCACAGUGUAGUCCAAUUUCAACAUUUCGGGGAGUUUCUCUCGGCUGACACUAUUUCGUCCGAAAUUUACAUAGAUUUUCUUUAUUUUUUAAUAUAGUCAAGCUAUUCAAAUUUGAUAAAUAUUUGAUUGCUUAUUGUAAUAUUUUGAACCGAAUUUUUUUAAAGGGAAAUAAACCGAAAUUUUCAACUCUGAAGGGAGGUGAUGGGAUGCGCGACCCUUCUCUCAUGCACAUGGGUGGCCCUCACUGCACGAGCUCAAUUUCAGAUGAUCAUGAGGAGCUAAGCUCGAUUUCUGGCGUUUUCAGCAUGCCUAGCUCAAGACCAUACAACGUCCCUCCCCUGCACGCGGGGGUAAGAUUAACAGCCUCAUUUCUUCGCUAAUGCUUAUGCUUAUCAACUAAUUUUUAAAUUUUUAACUUUAAAUUUGAUGUUAAUUUUGAGUUUUUUUUAUCGAAGUUUAUUUUUCAGUCUUUAAUUUUAAAUCGCUAAGAACACGUAUGUAAAAUUUCUAUUCACAAAUUAUCUUUCAUUUAUAAAUAUGCCGUUUGUCUUAUUCCAUCAAUAAGCCGAACAACGGGGGCCUCAGGCUCAAAGCAGGUAGCUAGAACACACGCUGUACUGUGCAUUUCUGUAAAUCAUUUUUUUUUACGAAAGAAUUUUUUCCAUCUUUUAGCUGAAGUACCUAAACAAGUAGAGAUUCCAAUUUCACCCAUUAAUUACGACGAGAUAAAUACAACCAUUUAUGAUUUAUCUACGUAGAUACCAUACGCCCUCUUGAAGCAAAGCAAUGGCGUGAGGCAGCAGCCCGGGUUUGCUUCCUGAAGCAAUCCUCUCUGCCGUAAACCAGGCGUCUCAAAUACACCUGAUCAAAGAAAAACAACAAGAACAACAAAUCAGGAGAGCCCAAACUCCAAUCCGGAAGACGCUAGCGUGCGCGGAAACAUCGCGUGAGACGCCAAGCUUUUGCCUAAUUGCCUCCCAGGGGAGGCAUCCAACGCUGUCCGUCCAUUCUCCCCUCCGCGUUUCUGAUGACGAACUGACUAGCGACAAUGAUCGCCCUCUGCUACAGGCUACAGCAGCUUAAGCACGGUGAUCAUCGAGGACACCCUAGUAAUCAAUCAGUCAGCCAUACACGGCUAAUCAAUCAGCCAAAGACAUAGGACUUGUUUUGUUUGCUACCAUGCCAAAAUAUUAAUAAUGCCAAACCAUAGGUAAAUUUGAUAGUGCCAAAUAUUUUAGCAAUUUAUGUGUCUUAUUGGUAUAUUUUGAUAGCAAACUAAACACUAGCCAAACUACUAUUCAAAAUACCAACGAUUUAGUGAGAAUUUAGACUAUUCACCAUCAAAUUCACGUGCCUCAACUUUUUUACCACCCAAUCGGCAUACCCGCUAUAAUAUGUCAUUAGGACUGUUAAUUAGUCCAUUUGGUACCACUUUCAUGUUUUUUUUUACUGUGUUUCUCAUUUCUUAAUUUCAUUUGUAUAUUUUUUUCAAGAUUUGUGGACGUUUUUGCCCCUGGGCCCACCUGUCAUAACCAAAGAGAGAUAUUUCUCUCUGGAUCGAUCGAUCCCUCCAGUCUCAUCCGUUCGCCGCCAACCCCGCCGCCGCCACUCACCUCAGCUUGCCGCCUCACCACCGAGCGCCGCCCCCAAACGCCGCGCCAUCACCCCGCCGCCGCAUCAUCACCCAGGCCUGGCGCCGCUGCCCAGGCCAAGCGCCUCCCCCGUGCCUGGAGCCGCCGCCCAGGCCGAGCAGCUCCCCCGUGCACAAACACAAUUAGUAAAUGACAUUGGGCACAAACACUAUAUAUUGAUUAAACAAGGUUAGUUUCUCAGUUCAGAAGAUUUAGUGAAGCGACCAAGGUGGCAGGUAAAGCUCUCACAUGGUGGAAGCAGUGGUAGAGCCAGAUGAGCUGCACGUCUGGAGGCGGCACCAGCAUCGGCGCCUCCCCUUCCGCGGGGUGGUGGCACGGCGCUCGGGGGCGGCGACCUGGGGGCGGCGCUCGGUGGUGGCCGGGCAUGGGCGAGUGGCGACGGCGGCUAGCUGCGGCGGCAUUGGGCGGCGGAGUGGGGGUGCUCGGCGGCGGGGUUGGCGGUGCCCGGCGGCGAGGUUGGUGCUCACGGUGACGAGACUGGAGGGAUCGAUCGAUCUAGAGAGAAAUAUCUCUCUUUGGUUCUGACGGGUGGGCCUAGGGGCAAAAACGUCCACAAAUCUUGAAAAAAUAUGCAAAUGGAAUUAAGAAAUGAGAAACACAGUAAAAAACCUGAAAGUGGUACCAAAUAGACUAAUUAGCAGUCCUAAUGAUAUAUUAUAAAGGGGUAUGCGGAUUGGGUGGUAAAAAAAGUUAAGGCACGCGAAUUUAAUGGUAAAUAGUCUAUAUUCUCCCGAUUUAGUAGACCACAUUUUGGCAUCAAACCAAAAUAGACCCUCUCCCAGAAUUUGUAAAUGGCUUUGUGGUUCGUGAUAUCACUGAACCUGCUGGGUGAAUAAAGUAAAAAAAAAAACCCAUAAAUUGGCCUUCUGCAAGAUCUCGUCGUCUUGCCCAAACUAUAGCCUUCGAUCUUUCCAUCAGGACCGCAUGGGGGGAGAGCAGGGGCAAGUAUGAAAUGGAGUUCAGAUUCAGAUUCUAGAACAGUCUGAACAUGCGACGACGACGAUGGCGAUGUAUCUGAACAAUCUGGUCCUCUCCCUCUCCUCCCGGGCGGGCUUCCACGCGGCUGAGUUUCAGGCUCCCAAUCUGCAGCUCCUCCCAGAACCUUACUCUGAUUGAUUGGUUCAUCGUUUCCAUGGCUCCAAUGAAUGCAACGUGUUGUUCAGAUUUUCUGAAUCUUGUUCUCAAUCCGGAGUACGUGCUGUAGCAGCAGCAAUCUGUCCCUGAUCUGAGAAUUUUAGACACUCGUAGAUUCGCUGAUCAAUCAUUCCGUUCCCUUCGAGUGGUCUAGAUUGAGCUUAAUCAUCCUGCUACUCGAAUCAAAUCUUCAGCAAGUGAGAGCUAGAUAAUUCAGAAGAAAUCAACAUAUUCUUCGCGAAAAAAAGAAAUAACCGAUGAAACCACGGUAAUUAGGUUCUUCGAAUCACCGGGAGAGUAGGAAAAAACGAGCUAAAAUCCCACAUAGGAGGAAACGGUUAAAAACGGCCACUCCGCGUCUCCGCCGCGAGACUAGCUCUCGCCAGUCCACGUAGCCCAAUCCACAACCGCCACGUGCUCCGACAAUCCCGCCCGUCCAUCGCCGCGGCCCCGGCCUCAUCUCGACCACUCGUUUCCUCCCUUCACACCAGCCACGUGGCACUCUCUCGAGAGCUCCCGCCCGCCUAUAUAAACUUGUUCGCGCUCGGCUCCUCCUCCUCAUCGACCUCCACCCCACAUUGAAUAAUUAUUUUUAAUAAUUUUAGUUUUUUUUUUUUGGCUUUAGAUAUAUUCCCAAUCCCCAACCUCCCAAUAAUCCGAUCUCUCCCAGUUCUGUUCGGAUCAAGGCUGUGUCGAUCGCAAAAAAGAAAAAAAAAACAAUUUCCUUUUGGGGUGGUUCAUCUGUUGAUCACUUCUUUGUUUCCCGCGUUUUGUUGGGGAUUCGAUUUUCGGGUUAAGAUUUUCUACACGAUGGCCUUGAACUUGGCUCAGAGCGCCGCGGCGGCAGCGUGCUUCGCGACCGCCGGUGAUGCGCGGCGAGCUGCUUCGGUGGUCGCCAUGCCGUCGUCGUCGUCGUCGGCCACGACGAGCCUGAGGAUGAAGAGGCAGGCGGCGUGCGAGCCGGUGGCGUGCCGGGCGGUGGCCAGGCACGUGGCGGCGGCGGCGGCGAGCAGCAGGAGGAACGGCGUGCCGGUGUUCGUGAUGAUGCCGCUGGACACGGUGAGCAAGUGCGGGAGCGCGCUGAACCGGAGGAAGGCGGUGGCGGCGAGCCUGGCGGCGCUGAAGAGCGCCGGCGUGGAGGGGAUCAUGGUGGACGUGUGGUGGGGCAUCGUGGAGAGCGAGGGCCCCGGCCGGUACAACUUCGACGGCUACGUGGAGCUCAUGGAGAUGGCCCGCAAGACCGGCCUCAAGGUCCAGGCCGUCAUGUCCUUCCACCAGUGCGGCGGCAACGUCGGCGACUCCGUCAAGUACGCAUCUCUCGUCUCCUUCCUCGAUCAUCUAUCUCAUCCUUCUCCUCUAACCUCUUCUUGUUGUUGGUGUGGCGUGCAGCAUCCCGCUCCCGAGGUGGGUGGUGGAGGAGAUGGAGAAGGACAACGACCUCGCCUACACCGACCAAUGGGGACGCCGCAACUUCGAGUACAUCUCCCUCGGCUGCGACGCCAUGCCCGUCUUCAAGGGCCGCACGCCCGUCGAGUGCUACACCGACUUCAUGCGCGCCUUCCGCGACCACUUCGCCUCCUUCCUCGGCGACACCAUCGUCGUAAGUAGGAGGAAGGACUCUUUUGAUAUCGUUGCCGUUUCGCCGGCGGCGACGACGACGCUGAUCAUCCGUGCGUCUCCUUGUGCAGGAAAUCCAAGUCGGCAUGGGCCCCGCCGGCGAGCUUCGGUACCCGUCCUACCCGGAGAGCAACGGCACCUGGAGGUUCCCCGGCAUCGGCGCCUUCCAAUGCAACGACAGGGUAACUAAUCUCCGACGAGCAAAAACUCCAUUUGGGUCGUCAUGGAUUCGAGAAAAACUCUUAUCUGGAUAAAUUUUGACGUCCUGUGGUGCAGUACAUGCGUAGCAGCCUGAAGGCGGCGGCGGAGGCGAGGGGCAAGCCGGAGUGGGGCCACGGCGGGCCGACGGACGCCGGCGGCUACAACAACUGGCCGGAAGACACGGUGUUCUUCCGCGGCGACUGCGGCGGGUGGAGCACCGAGUACGGCGAGUUCUUCCUGUCGUGGUAUUCGCAGAUGCUGCUGGAGCACGGCGAGCGCGUGCUGUCGGGCGCGACGUCCGUGUUCGGCGACGGCGCCGGCGCCAAGAUCUCGGUCAAGGUGGCCGGCAUCCACUGGCACUACGGCACGCGGUCGCACGCGCCGGAGCUCACGGCGGGGUACUACAACACGCGGCACCGCGACGGCUACCUCCCGAUCGCGCGCAUGCUGGCGCGCCACGGCGCCGUGCUCAACUUCACCUGCGUGGAGAUGCGCGACCACGAGCAGCCGCAGGAGGCGCAGUGCAUGCCCGAGGCGCUCGUCAGGCAGGUGGCCGCCGCGGCGCGCGCGGCGGGCGUCGGGCUCGCCGGGGAGAACGCGCUGCCGCGGUACGACGGCACGGCGCACGACCAGGUGGUCGCCGCCGCCGCCGACCGCGCGGCGGAGGACCGGAUGGUCGCCUUCACCUACCUCCGGAUGGGGCCCGACCUCUUCCACCCGGACAACUGGCGCCGGUUCGUCGCCUUCGUCCGCCGCAUGUCCGAGUCUGGCUCGCCGCGGGAGGCCGCCGAGAGCGCCGCGCACGGCGUCGCGCAGGCCACCGGCUCGCUCGUGCACGAGGCCGCGGUCGCGCUCCGGAGCUAGCACGGUCAGACGCUCAUAUACACCGUCGCCUCGAGGUCGGAUUCCGAUGUGGGAUCAUUCGAUCUCCCUUUUUUUUUUCUUCUUUUUGCCAUUUUGUACAGCCUUUUGGGGAGCUUUGGAUUUGUGCUUUUUGUCUCGGGAGGAAAACCGCUCUGGAGGUCGAAGAGAGCGUCAUUUUCCUCCCGUUGAAGAUCACGAAUCAUUUACGUUAGAGAUGAUGUAAUUAAGCAGGGAGGGGAGGGGAACACACACACACUGGCACUCAAAAGUUGUUGUCACGCUUGGGGAAUAUAUCCAUUUCCAGCCAAAAAAAAAACGCAGAAAUGCGUUGUGUUCUUGCGCUCUGGUUCGUUGCUGCUGUGGGUCAGAUUCAGCUGGUGAAAAAACUACAGUACUACUGAAACUGAAACUACUAGAGCCUAGAGGGAGAUUAAGCUAAGUUAAUUGCACGAGUAAUUACUCCACGGUUGUGUUUAGGGUCUACGUCGGCAGAUUUUGCUUUCUGGUAGAUCCCUAACCUUAUGUUUGUUGGGAAUUUUAUAAAGGAGCUAAGUUUGCCUAUUGAUUUGCAAUCUACACAUAUCUCUUGUGUCACAAAACAUUGGUGCCUUCACGUCUUUGGUCUCCCCUCUAAAAACUUGCCUGGCGAAUUUCACAUGAACUUCACACGAAGUCGUUCAUUUCUUGCAAGAAGUAGGGAAAAGAAUCACUGCUACAAAUGGUGUGAAGUAAUUCAUUUCUUGCAAGAAAUAGGAAAAUUUCCCUGCUCCAAACUAAAGAGUUUACAAGAAGUAGGGAAAAGAAUCACUGCUACAAAUGGUGUGAAGUAAUUCAUUUCUUGCAAGAAAUAGGAAAAUUUCCCUGCUCCAAACGAUAAGAGUUUACAAGCGUCGACCUUGAGCGGAUUACUAUCUUUGGCAUGCUAGUUUGUGGAAACUGAAAGGAUUCUGCAACUUACAGUGUGGGACUCCAGUAAUAUGACGCAGCAAGUUGGCAAAAUGGCAAUAAUUCAGUGAUUACUAAUGUCCAGCUGCCAAGCACACUGACAGUCCCAUCAUAUCCUAACAUCAAACAAGUUUUGGAUAAUAUGAACAACAUGAGUUCCUUCAAGCCCCAUAUCCUAACAUCAAACAUGUAUUGGAUAAUAUGAACCACAUAAGACGGAAAUCCAUCAAGGAAGCAAAGCAACAAGCCUAGAAACAAACAAGGUAAGGAGAUAAAAUCACGGCAAGAUGAUCUCCAAGACACGUAAUCGAGCCAAUCAACUAGACAGGCAGGUUGACACUUGCAACCAAAGAUAAUAUUCACAUUCAUGUAUCAUGAUCCCAAAGUCAAGACAAGAUGUUUGAUCGGCACCCAUAACAUCAUGAAAUCCCAUCAAACGUAAAUAGGGUUAUAUGCAUCGCAAAAUUCUACUACAAGACACCAAGAAGUUCAACAGAGCAUAUCUUCAUUCUUAAAAGCAAAUAGUAGCACAGUAUAAAGCAUUCUGCAAAACUCAGCACAGUGAUCUGCGACGAAUAAUUUUUUGACAGGAACCACACAGAACAAAGGUCCAGACUAAUAAUGCUCAGAGCGAGCAAACUUCUACUCAUUAGAGUGACAGGGAUAUAGAAUUGGUAGCGCAGGCAGAUAGAUUGAAAAUCCUAG